AUACGGAGGGUGCAAGCGUUACUCGGAAUCACUGGGCGUAAAGCGCGCGCAGGCGGCCAUUUAAGUUGGAUGUGAAAGCCUACGGCUUAACCGUAGAACUGCAUCCAAAACUAUUUGGCUAGAGUGUGGGAGAGGAAGAUGGAAUUAGUUGUGUAGGGGUAAAAUCCGUAGAGAUAACUAGGAAUACCAAAAGCGAAGGCAAUCUUCUGGAACACUACUGACGCUGAGGCGCGAAAGCGUGGGGAGCAAACGGGAUUAGAUACCCCUGUAGUCC
rnacentral:rRNA from 1 species